UGGUGGAUGGCUCGGCUUGAGCGCCGAAGAAGGGCGCGGCCAGCCGCGAUAGGGCCCCGGGUAAGCGUAUGCAGCUUUAGAACCGGGGAUCCCCGAAUGGGACCUCCUACCAUAGGCUCCUUCGGGGGCCUAUGGUGCUCCCGGCAGGGAGCGGGAACCCCCCGAACGGAAGCAUCUUAGUAGGGGGAGGAAAAGAAACCAAAACGGGAUUCCCUU
rnacentral:rRNA from 1 species